UAAGGGGCAGGAGGAGUUAAGAUGGGAGUGAGCGGUGGUUCUUAUGCUUGGAAAUAUUCCAGACUGUUGAGUCAGUCUUAUCCCGAAAGGAACUACGGUUGGCGGCGGGGGGAGAAGGCAGGCUUCGCUGGGGUCGCACGUCCAGUUAGCUGCAAGCCGACCCUAGAGCCUAAUGCUUACUGGCCAGCCUGGAGUUACAGCCCUAUGUGCACCGCGCGCUGCACCCGCAUUUAUUGUACAAGAUUAUGGAAGGCUGGAGCCCGGCCCUUCUCUGGCUCCCCAGCUGUGCCUGGCACCAUGAAAGCAUGCAUGUAGACGGCAGCCUCCACACUCACAGGAAACCCACACAAAGUGGUGAGGAGCUUGUUCCAUUCCGGGUAAUGAGACAACCCCUGAAUAUUACAGGAUCUCUGGGAGAGAGUCACCUUUGUUCCAGAAUUCCCUGGUCCUGGCUCUGGAAGUCCUGCUGGCAUCUAGUGCUGAAGGCUGUGGCUGGAGCACUCACGGUGAGUUCUUCUUAUCUUCCUUUGACCUUUGCUGAACCCUUACAGGCCCUGAGCAUCCCCAAGGUCAGCUUGUGACUUCCACAGAACUUCUGAUCUCCGGAGACCUUGCCCCUGGAGAGGCCCUGAGGAUAGAGUGGGUCACAUGAGCCAGCACCUUCUGCCAAAGUCAGGGUCAAAUACCUACCCUUGGGAGCCAGGUUUGGCUUUUGGUUUAGGCAGGUGUUGACUUUGGGCAAAUUCCCAGCCCAGAAAAAAAAUGACUUUUGGUGUGGAAUCUCGUUCUUCCUCAGCAUAGCCUUGAAAGUCAUGUGCUUAGGGUGCUUUGUUGGUAGGAUAGCAAUUGGGCGAUAUUCGAUAUUCAAGGAGUUGAGAGAGGUUUAAAUUGCAGAGGCAUCUGAGUAUUGUCACAGUCUUAUCUGAGGUCACAUGCUUGUAAGUGGCAGAGCCAAGUGGUGUCUGACAUUCCAGUGCCCCCCAGCCAUGAUGCUAAGACACAAUGACACUUGGGGUCAAUUUUGUUUUUAGCACAGAUUCACUUUAAUCACAUUAUAGCACACAAUGCUUUGUGGAAUUUCUUCAAUUCCACAAAAAAAUAUGCCUCCUCCCAUUUUCCCUGAAGCAUAUGGCC